CCCAGUGUUCAGACUACCUGUUCAGGAGCAUAUGAAGUUGUACAGUAGUCUGCACAUUGGUUA
rnacentral:pre_miRNA from 1 species